GCAAUCUCAAAAUUGCGAAUAUGCUAGAUGGGAUUAAUCUCACAAGAUGGGGUUCCGAUAGGAUGUCUUGACGGUCGCACUAGCCUCUACGAGCGAAGACAAAUAAAAGUAGCAAUAGCUAAACUUCUCUAAACAAAACCCAAGUCUAAACCCUAACCUAGACUAGCUAUUUAUUAAAGAGGUACAAACGCAAACGAGUACGUAGAUGUGUUCCAGCCGGUCUGCUGAUCGAAGGAAGUUGUGCACGAGUUGGACAGUACAAAGGCCGAAGCUGCAGGCCCUGACGUGAGGAGACUUGGCGCAGCCCACAAUACAUGGCCCAAGUCGCUGAUACUGAUCAACGGAUUCAAAUCAAAAGGCCUUUGUUUCCUGUGCACUCCACGUGACAUCGAUGAUGGAUGGGGUGUAAUGGAUGGUUCGGCGGGCAUGCAUGCAAGGAUGAUGGAGCGCAUGCAUGCAUGGAUUGCUCCAUCUGGUUUUAAGGCAUAGUAGUCUCUUGCUUCUUUUAUUCUUUUAUUCCUGAGUACAAGUAAAUCACAACAUGAGUGUAAUAUCAUAUUUCUGCGAGUUAAAUAAUAUGUCCAAAGAAAUGAAAGUACCUGGUUAAUAAUUUGUGAUGUAAUAUUUGUAGACGUUUCUAUGAUAGCUAUGUCCACAUCAGAACCUGGCCUCAACUUGGAAGUCCAAGAGUGCACUGGAAAGAUGAGGUGAUUUCGAUUGAAAUCGAUAUAAAGAUCGCCGGAAUCGGAUGCACGGUUUAGAAAUGGCAAGCGAAACAAAUAUGGCACCGGUCUGCGAUAAACAGCAAGUAGCCAUCUAGAUGCAACCAGAUAAUUAUGCUACAGCACUCAAACAUGGCAACAAAAUACAUGGCAGGGAUCCAUUCAUGAUGCUUAACAAAAGAUGAACACUAAGCUACGGCCAAUUCAUCCAUUAACAGGUUCAAACAAGCAUGGCAAAAGUGCAAUUGAUAAAUAGGUUUCAGACUUAGUGAAAUUAACACUUGUCUGGAAUUUCAGAUCAGGUAGCACACUUUGAAGUAAGAAAACCAUAUGUUACAGGAACUUAACAUGGUAAAGCAAAGCAUAGCAUGGAGCUACUCAGAGAGCUUAACAAAAGUCCCUUAUUGACCUUGAGCCAAAAGGGAUUAGAAAAUACAAUUGCAAGCAUGUAAACAUGGCAAAAACAUAAACAGAUCUCAAACUUAGUGAAAUUCCAGGACAUGACAAAAACAGAUUCAACAUGGCAUCUUUACAAGCUUGAUUAACUCACUACAAGGCAUGUCAUGGCAUGGGACAAGUUCUAGCAUGAAGUAUACAUGAAAAUGAAGCUAACCAUGUGCCAAACCACCUCAUAGCAUGUUUGAAAAAAAUCACACAAAAAUGCCCAAACAACAUCAUGAUGUAAAAUGACAUGCUUAUGAACUUGCUCAAAUGCAUAAACUAAUGCCACCGCUGGGUUGGUGGGAUUUUUCUACCCCAAAACAUAUAUAAUAUGUUGGGGUUGCUGUAGAAAAAUCACCACAAAUGCAAUAAGUCAAACACUGCCUAAAAAGGUAGCUGACAGAAAUGGCAUUUUCCUUAUUUGGAAAUGUCCAGAAAUGGACUUGCCUGAACUGGAAUAAGGUAUCUUUCCCGAAAUGGAAAUCGCUGGAAUAAAGAAAAAAAUAAAAGAAAUAAGAGGAGGGGGUGAGGAUGACAUGUGGUGCCCUGAGGAGUGUUAGUAUGGCAGGUGGGGCCUUGCUGUCAUACUCACGCAUAAUGCAAAAACAUAAACAGAUCUCAGACUUAGUAAAAUUCCAGGACAUGACAAAAACAGAUUCAACAUGGCAUCUUUACAAGCUUGAUUAACUCACUACAAGACAUGUCAUGGCAUGGGACAAGUUCUAGCAUGAAGUAUACAUGAAAAUGAAGCUAACCAUGUGCCAAACCACCUCAUAGCAUGUUUGAAAAAAAUCACACAAAAAUGCCAAAACAACAUCAUGAUGUAAAGUGACAUGCUUAUGAACUUGCUCAAAUGCAUAAACUAAUGCCACCGCUGGGUUGGUGGGAUUUUUCUACCCCAAAAACAUAUAUAAUAUGUUGGGGUUGCUGUAGAAAAAUCACCACAAAUGCAAUAAGUCAAACACUGCCUAAAAAGGUAGCUCACAGAGAUGGCAUUUUCCUUAUUUGGAAAUGUCCAGAAAUGGACUUGCCUGAACUGGAAUAAGGUAUCUUUCCCGAAAUGGAAAUCGCUAGAAUAAAGAAAAAAAUAAAAGAAAUAAGAGGAGGGGGUGAGGAUGACAUGCGGUGCCCUGAGGAGUGUUAGUAUGGCGGGUGGGGCCUUGCUGUCAUACUCACGCAUAAUGCAAAAAUAUAAACAAAUUUCAGACUUAGUGAAAUUCCAGGACAUGACAAAAACAGAUUCAACACGGCAUCUUUACAAGCUUGAUUAACUCACUACAAGGCAUGUCAUGGCAUGGGACAAGUUCUAGCAUGAAGUAUACAUGAAAAUGAAGCUAACCAUGUGCCAAACCACCUCAUAGCAUGUUUGAAAAAAAUCACACAAAAAUGUCAAAACAACAUCAUGAUGUAAAAUGACGUGCUUAUGAACUUGCUCAAAUGCAUAAACUAAUGCCACCACUGGGUUGGUGGGAUUUUUCUACCCCAAAAACAUAUAUAAUAUGUUGGGGUUGCUGUAAAAAAAUCACCACAAAUGCAAUAAGUCAAACACUGCCUCAAAAGGUAGCUGACAGAGAUGGCAUUUUCCUUAUUUGGAAAUGUCCAGAAAUGGACUUGACUAAACUGGAAUAAGGUAUCUUUCCCGAAAUGGAAAUCGCUGGAAUAAAGAAAAAAAUAAAAGAAAUAAGAGGAGGGGGUGAGGAUGACAUGUGGUGCCCUGAGGAGUGUUAGUAUGGCGGGUGGGGCCUUGCUGUCAUACUCACGCAUAAUGCAAAAAUAUAAACAAAUUUCAGACUUAGUGAAAUUCCAGGACAUGACAAAAACAGAUUCAACACGGCAUCUUUACAAGCUUGAUUAACUCACUACAAGGCAUGUCAUGGCAUGGGACAAGUUCUAGCAUGAAGUAUACAUGAAAAUGAAGCUAACCAUGUGCCAAACCACCUCAUAGCAUGUUUGAAAAAAAUCACACAAAAAUGUCAAAACAACAUCAUGAUGUAAAAUGACGUGCUUAUGAACUUGCUCAAAUGCAUAAACUAAUGCCACCACUGGGUUGGUGGGAUUUUUCUACCCCAAAAACAUAUAUAAUAUGUUGGGGUUGCUGUAAAAAAAUCACCACAAAUGCAAUAAGUCAAACACUGCCUAAAAAGGUAGCUGACAGAGAUGGCAUUUUCCUUAUUUGGAAAUGUCCAGAAAUGGACUUGACUAAACUGGAAUAAGGUAUCUUUCCCGAAAUGGAAAUCGCUGGAAUAAAGAAAAAAAUAAAAGAAAUAAGAGGAGGGGGUGAGGAUGACAUGUGGUGCCCUGAGGAGUGUUAGUAUGGCAGGUGGGGCCUUGCUGUCAUACUCACGCAUAAUGCAAAAAAAGGGGGGUCUGAACCGCACCAGGGGAGGAUCGAACCCAGGUCUCCCUGGAGUUAGAGCGGGGUCUUUGCCACUGGGCCAAGCGCUCAUAGUUGGCAUAAAGAAGACCGGACUCCUUAUGUACUAGGACCAGGUCUGGCUAGUCUCCUCUACGCGCACAGAAAAGAAAACGACGACGAUGCCGGCAAGCGAGGCGGCCGUAUCCGGCGAGGUGGUGUGCCGGCGGGGGUGCGGACACGGAGGGGGGUUUAGCGCGUGCAUGCGGAGCUGCUGCAAGAAUGCACGCGUUGGGUUCAACUCGAGCACGAGCUCAUGGCGAGCUUGGCUUGGUACCGUCGGUGCAGAGGCCGAGCGAGCGACCUCUGAAGCUGGCGAGGCGAGGCGAGGCGAGCGUGCACACGGGCAAGCGUGGCGAGGAGAACGCAGCCAGGUGGGAACCAGAGCACGGGGACGCGCGAGCGCGCUGUAUCAAGUACACACAACAAAACUGCAGACCUCGCCGGAGCACCGUGAGCACAGCAAAGACACGGAUUGAUCGAGCCUCACAGGGUCCUAUAUGCCAUGGAAAGAAAAGGGAGAGGUUGGUGCGUUACUCAGCUCACCCUAGGACACGAUGGGGUCGACGGAGACGAGCCGGAGAUGACGCAAGGGAGCGCUGAACUUGGUGGGGCUGCUGUCCGCGAAGCAGAGGGAGAAGAUGUCGUUGUGGUAGUCGAUCCAGGGCUGUAGAGGUGCGUGCGUGCAGAAGAGGGCA
rnacentral:lncRNA from 1 species